CCUACGGGGGGCAGCAGUGAGGAAUAUUGGUCAAUGGGCGCAAGCCUGAACCAGCCAAGUCGCGUGAGGGAUGACGGUCCUAUGGAUUGUAAACCUCUUUUGUCGGGGAGCAAGGCCCGCCACGUGUGGCGGGAAGGAGAGUACCCGAAGAAAAAGCAUCGGCUAACUCCGUGCCAGCAGCCGCGGUAAUACGGAGGAUGCGAGCGUUGUCCGGAUUUACUGGGUGUAAAGGGCGUGCAGCCGGAGAGACAAGUCAGAUGUGAAAUCCACGGGCUCAACCCGUGAACUGCAUUUGAAACUGUUUCCCUUGAGUGUCGGAGAGGUAAUCGGAAUUCCUUGUGUAGCGGUGAAAUGCGUAGAUAUAAGGAAGAACACCAGUGGCGAAGGCGGAUUACUGGACGAUAACUGACGGUGAGGCGCGAAAGCGUGGGGAGCAAACAGGAUUAGAUACCCUAGUAGUC
rnacentral:rRNA from 1 species